UUAAUUGAAGCCAAAUAGAGGCAUUUUAUUGUUAAUAAAAAAAUUGAAUAUAGUUUCCAAUUAAA
rnacentral:tRNA from 1 species